UUAAAGGAAUUGACGGAAGGGCACCACCAGGAGUGGAGCCUGCGGCUUAAUUUGACUCAACGCGGGGAAACUCACCCGGCCCGGACACCGUAAGGAUUGACAGAUUGAGAGCUCUUUCUUGAUUCGGUGGGUGGUGGUGCAUGGCCGUUCUUAGUUGGUGGAGCGAUUUGUCUGGUUAAUUCCGAUAACGAACGAGACUCUAGCCUAUUAAAUAGUCGACGGAUCAUUAGUCCGCUGUACUUCUUAGAGGGACAGAGGGCUUCUAGCCUUACGAGAUUGAGCAAUAACAGGUCUGUGAUGCCCUUAGAUGUCCGGGGCUGCACGCGCGCUACACUGAAGGAAUCAACGUGUCUGCUUCCUGCUUCGAAAGGAGUGGGUAACCCGUUGAAACUCCUUCGUGAUUGGGAUAGGGGCUUGUAAUUAUUCCCCUUGAACGAGGAAUUCCUAGUAAGCGCGGGUCAACAUCUCGUGUUGAUUACGUCCCUGCCCUUUGUACACACCGCCCGUCGCUACUACCGAUUGGAUGAUUUAGUGAGGCGCUCGGACCGGCGUCAUAGCGGCCGAAAGGUUGCCCUGACGGUUGGAAAGAGAACCUAACUGCAUCAUCUAGAGGAAGUAAAAGUCGUAACAAGGUUUCC
rnacentral:rRNA from 1 species